AUGUUCUCUAGAAAUCUCCAUAACUCUAGGUACAGGUUCCAGAGCAGAAAUAUUUUACCCAAAAUUUUGUUUUACCUGCUGAAGCUGCGACAAGUUCUUUUUCUCUAUAGCAAUGAAUAAUUAAAGCUCGUGACUACCUCUAGGGCGGGUUUUAUUUUGAGCUUCGAGAUGGUUAUACUUUUCUUUAGUAUUCUAGUUGGAGUGGGCUUGGCUUCCUAGCAACCAAUGUCCCAUUUGUUAGUACUUUUUAUGUUCAAUCGAAGGACAUCGUGGUGAAUGAUGCCUAGAACUUGAGCUCUUUAUAUACAAGUAUCCUGAUCCAAUUUAAGGAGAAGCUAGAAGCUUUUGUUUCAACUAUCAAUGUGUAGUUUGGUGAUACAUGAGUUUUGAAGCACAUCACCAGUGGCCUCUAUGUCGCAUCCUAAUCCUACCAAUGGCUUACUGAUGUCCAGGAUACAACAGUGCGAAAGGUCCUUGACAGCUCUGGGUGGAACUGGAUUUGGAAAUUUCAAACACUGGAGAAAGUUAGAGUGUUUGUUUGGGUUUUCAUGGAUAAAUCUAUCAAAGGGAAUGAACACUAAUACCAAUCUACUACUUCUUAUUCUCAAGUUUGCAAUUCACUAUUCCUACAAAACCUCCAAUGAGCUUCCGCCAUCUGGCUUUCUUUCCUUUAGUUUUCAUUUUUUUUCCAAUGGCUUCUGGGAUACGACUAACCAGUCAUCAUCCCCAUCUCAAUCGCGUGUUGCCUCUGCUCUCCACCCACUCCGCCGUUCACUAGCUAGCAAUCGCGUGUUGCCUCUCCCUCUUCACCCACUCCGUUGUACCCUUCGUCAUCUUCUUUUUCAUUGAUUUCUCUUCUGAAAUCAACCCUAGCUAGCUUUCCUCUUCUCCAAAUCCAUCCAAACCCUAGAUGUGUUUCCGUGUUUAAGUUGCUCUUUCCAUCCACUUCUCACCAAUCCAUCAACUUCGUCUUUUCGAUUGAUCUGAUGUCGCCUUUGUUUUCGUCGCCGGUUGCUGUUCAUCCGUCAUUCCCUCUUCUCAGUUGCCGAACUUUUUGGGUUGAAUGCAUCUUCGAAGGUUGAUUUUGUGAUCAAAUGAUUCCAUUCAAAGCUUAUGCCCUGGAAGAGAAGCAUGAAAGAUCAAAGCAAGGGUGAUCAGAAAGGGAGCUCCAUAGUUGGCAAUUGUGAUCUUGAAUUUGCUGAAGGACUGUCUGUCAGUGGUAAAUUAGGGCACAUUCAGGAAGUCUUUUAGCUAAUGAUCAAGAAAUACGGAUCAAGGAACAGAUCUCAGUGCCGAAGACAUAAGAGCACAUGAUCUAUACAUGUUAGACAUUGUAUCCAUUGUAUUUUGGAGGAUAUUUGUAUGAAAUUAAAGACGUUACAGGAAAAGAGUCUAUUAACAUCAAAUGCUUCACUGGAAUGAUUAUAAUUUGGAAAUUAAGUUUGGUAGGGCUUUUGCAUUUUUUAGCUAAUUGCUCUUGCUAGGCGGAAAGUAAUGGGGAUGGGAGUCACAUAAAGAUGAUUUUCUUCUAAUGGAGCUUCCUUUAAACAUUAACCUGUCUUGACUUAAAAAAACAUAUUAAACUGUCUUAAUAGAAAUAAUGAACCCAUUCUUGAUUUGCCAUUUCUACUUUUAACACAUUUUUUGUAAUUGCUGAUCACUUCCAAUUUCCAAAUUCUUAAUCCAGAAAGUUUCUACUCAAUUAAUCUACUACUUCUUAUUCUUCCACUACUGUAACUAAAAGACAUCCUAUCCCAUAUCACAUUUGCACCUUUGUUUAACCAUUUGUGGAUUUCCACUGAUUUAUCAAAUGUCUGGAAUGAAGCAAUAUGCAGGUCUGCAAAUUUGAUGAAGACAAAGGGUUGGAGGUAAUCAAAUUUAGAGCGUGGAAUUGGCUCAGAUGCAGAUCAAAGGGAUUUCUAUAUUCAUUCUAUGACUGGAUUUUAAAUCCCUUAACUUGCAUUGAAGGAACCUUGCAUCACUUGCUGUAACAGUUUUGUGCGUUGAAGUUAGUGGGUGGGAAAGUUUGGGAAUAUAUCAGUAAAAGCAGAGCCUCAUAUCUACCAUUUGCUCAAUAAGCCCUUGAAUGAGGAUUCUUUGUCAAUUGAGAAGUGGAAAGAAUCAAAGAAGCUGAGAUGAAAGGGCUAGACCACUGGAUGGAUGUUGAAGCCUUGAACAAUAAACAAAAAACAAGAAAUUGGUAAAGAAACUAGCGAAAAAGUACUAUACCUUUUUAGCUUCUGAAGUUGUUACCAAGCAGAUUCCUCGUGAGCUUUGAUCAUCUCUAUUUCUCUAUUUGAUGGAACUAAAAUAUGAUCAGUGGAUCAUGGGAUCGAUAGCGUGUGUUCUCACUAAAAAAGGCUGGUUCUGCGAAGAGAUUUUGGCCAUGUUACCAUUAUAGUUUUAAUUGUAGGUAAAUUGUUUAUUAAAUUGUUUGUGUGACCAAGUGCAGGGUGAUAAUCUCACACUGCAAGGGACUUUGAAGAAUGACAUUAUACAUAUGCUACUCCUUAACGUUGAUAACUUUUAUGAUUAUAUUUUGAUUAUUUUCCUUGAAUUGGCUUGAUCAUUAUUUAAUUCCCCUUAGAAUUAUGACAUUAAGAUUUGAAUAAUUACAUUAUAUCAGAUUUUAGGUAACCUGGUUAUGGGUUCCUUUAUAUUUUGCUCAACUCUGUGAAGACAAGGGUCUCACCUUCAUAGGGCCUCCAGUAUCUGCCAUCAGAGAUAUGGGUGACAAGAGUAAAUAGGUGUGGGAUGCCCUCAAGGUUCUUGAUGCUGCUGAUAUUGAUAAACCAGAGGCUUCAUUGGGCUUGGAGCAUUUGGUGUCGGGUUUUUAAUUGGUUGGGGGUCUGUUUUGUAUGUUCUGGUAGUCCAGUUGAUCAUCUUCUGCCCUUUGCUGGUUUGUUUCUGUCGGUCAACAAGGAUUAUAUUUUAUCAGUAUGGCUGGUAGUUGUUUGGCACAUUUUGGUGGGAAGGAAUGAAGUAGUUCUCAGAGAAGGGGUUUUUCUGCCUGAGUGCAUUUUUGACUUGGUCAAGUUAAAAGUGUAGGAAUGGUUGAGAGCCAGAAGCUGCCACUUCACACGUGCUACCUAUGAAUGGAUUGAAUCAAUCCUCUGCCUACUCGAUUAUUAGAUGGAAGGAAUUCUUAAGUUUGUUGGUUCUGUUAAUUUGUACUGAUACACUUGCAAUACUUUGGCUCUUAGUCAAAUUAUUGAAUCUCUUUUUGUAAGGGUUUGGGGUAGCCUUUUACCCCCUUGAAUGUAUCAUUGCUAAUUAAAAAAACAACAUAUCUUUGUUGCUCA